rnacentral:rRNA from 1 species
CGCUGGCGGCGUGCCUAACACAUGCAAGUCGAACGGAGUUAUUUCGACGGAUUCCUUCGGGAUGAAGAUGACUUAACUUAGUGGCGGACGGGUGAGUAACGCGUGAGCAACCUGCCUUUCAGAGGGGGACAACAGUUGGAAACGACUGCUAAUACCGAAUGACGUUUCCUGGUCGCAUGACCUGGAAACCAAAGGCCGGGCAACCGGUCACUGAAGGAUGGGCCUGCGUCUGAUUAGCUAGUUGGUGGGGUAACGGCCCACCAAGGCGACGAUCAGUAGCCGGUCUGAGAGGAUGAACGGCCACAUUGGGACUGAGACACGGCCCAAACUCCUACGGGAGGCAGCAGUGGGGAAUCUUCCGCAAUGGGCGCAAGCCUGACGGAGCAACGCCGCGUGAGUGAAGAAGGUUUUCGGAUCGUAAAGCUCUGUUGAGAGGGACGAGAGAUAUAAUCAGGAAAUGGGUUAUAGAGGACGGUACCUUUCGAGGAAGCCACGGCUAACUACGUG